GUUUGUGCCGCGCGCCCGCCAGACCGCCCAGGAGGCGGCGGCUAUUGUUCCCCGCAGGGGCCCGGGGCGCCCUGAAACGGGGUCCACGUCAGCCCGCUCCCGAGCGUGUCCUCAGAUCUGGGGACCCUUCACCUGCCUCUACUACUGCAAAUGAUUGGAUAUUCGUCUGACUUGGCUCUUCCCUAAUGUGUGGAACUAAUUUUGUUCACUCUGUUUCAUGCUGGACCUGGCCUGAAAAUGGGCCCUUAUAUUGUCUUUGCACUUUCCAACUUGCCAAGUUUCUGAAAGAAGGACCAAAGUAAUGCCAAGAACUCCCAGAUGAAGAGGACCUUCCUUAGACCUAUAACAGAUUCACUACUUGACUUCAGAGGGAAGUUUCAGCUAAUUCUCAGGAAAAGGUCAAAACAGGCCUGUGACUGUCCCUUGAAUACUGAAGGUAUAAACAAGCUUCUGGCUCCUCCAGGUCAAGCAGAGGAACACUUUUAUUAGAAUGAAGGGUUACUUCUUUGUUAUUCAAACACACACCCACACACAUCCUCUGUAGUCUCCCUAAUGAAAAACCUCAACAGAUGGAGAGCCUGAGCUCCCAAGUCCGCAGGCUGAGAAGAUGCACUUCACUCAAGGGCCAGUGGGCUGGUACAGACUAGGGAAGAGAAAAGGGACAAAGGCUGCUAGUAUAGGUAAUCACUAUCUUUUAAUACUCCUAACACAUAGAAAUUCGAAAAAUCUUGUUCAGCAAUGUUAGCAGCCUGUGAGCCUCGGAAACUAAUUUGGCUGAUGUGUCUCUGAUAGGGAGCUUGGGGCUGCACCAAGGGGAAACAUUCUCCUCCUGUAUUCUCUCCUCUCUCUCGUUUGAAAGCCUGUACAAAGAAAUGGUACAAAUGGAUGGUUAACUUAAUGAUUCCAUCAGAGGCAGAUUUUUCUCUGUCAGGUCCCUGGAUAAGGUGGAGGUCUGAAAGCCAGGAGACAGAAUAUGUACUUAAUCGCCCUUUCUGACCUGCUUACCAGUGACCAGGACUACUCUCCAGGCCUUUCUUCUGCCACUUCCCCAUUCUUCCUGGCUAGUUCAGUUGGGUCUCAGCACUUCAACUCCUGGCUGGAUCCUGAGUUUUUCUUGGUUGCAGGGAAAGCUCUCACUGUCUGCAUCUCCUUCCCCACCCCCACCUCCCGUUUUGCAGCUGGCCAUUCUGGCUGCCUCACAGCUAUCCUGCCUUAAUUCAUAUUUGAUUGCCUGGACAGAACCACCUAGAAUGUCCAGACGACUGCCACCCCUCAGCCAUGGGCCUGAGAUCCUGCCCUGACCCCUUUCUUCAGACCCCAGGAGGACCCACAAUCUCCCUGAUCCCCACCUUCCCCAAAGUAGUCUCUAGGAAAAAAGCAGAGCUGGCUAAGGCCUGAGACAGAGCCAUUUCUUCCCCUUGGGCAAACGAGGUAGACCCUCCCAGAGACCAAUGCCGGAGAGGCCCGGAUCCGAGCUCCCUUUAUAUGGCCUCCCCCAUCACGGAUCCCGUGGGAAAACCUGACACACAAUGGCGCGGCUGCUCCGGGCACCCUCAACCCAGCGCCCUGCGGCAAGGCCUGGAGCAGCCUGGUGGUCUUGGUGCGCUCCCUUUGCCCUCCCCGCAACCCUCUGCGAGCACUCGUCCCAGGAGAGAGACCCUGGCUAGGGUGGAGGUUGCCUCCCGCAAAGGGCGCUGUUGCUGGGGCCUCCCCUCCCCCAUUCUCUUGUUUUUCUGCUUCUGAGACUCGGGAGGGAGGCGGCAGGCGCCUCCGCAGCCGAUAGAGCAGCUAUUGUGACCUUCCCUUGCAGAGCGGGAACCCAGCCGAGUGUGUACCGCCGGCGGUGGCGGGGGAGGAGGCGACUGUGUGUGCAAACCUCAGUCGGAGAGGGGGUGGCGCUGGGAAAUAAAGGUUUGCAACCUCAGGCAGUUGGGCCCUUCAGAGGGCGUUUGGUUGUGUUUAGACUCGGUUGCUUUCUAACACUAAUUGCAGGCUCAAAAGGAGCGGAAUUUAUUGCGAAGGCCAAGGCGGCUUGUUUAUAAUUUAUGAAGUUUUAAAUGGCUGUGCCGCGGGCCCCAACUUUCUCCUGGGCUGGCAGCCGCGCGGAAACGCGCCCUCCCCCGGCUCGCCGCCCACCCCCACCCACGCCCCUCAGAUGAGUCUCACGCCAAUGGCAGGAACAGAUCCGAGCUAUUAGAAGUCUCGGGAACCUCCAGAGAUGACAGAAGGUGGCAGAUUUGGUCCAAGCCCUCACCCCACUCGAGAGGAGGGCGUCGGGGAAAGCUGUGGCUGCCUGGAGAGGGAGCCCCUGAUCCCACACUUCCUUGGAGCCUGAGUGUGAGAGGAAGCUAAUGUCAGCCGGGCUAGACACCGUUUAAAGUCUAAUCCAUGAAACCCUAAGCCGCAAAUGACACUUGGGGCUUUGCAGACACCCGCAGACUCAGCAGAUACUCCUGCGGUAACACACUGUGCUGGAAAACGCCUGGAGCCAUGACACAUUACGUAUUUUUAUUAUUAUUUAUGGUAGGAAGAGGAGAUGAGGGAAAAUCGGGCUGAAUCUAAGCAGCCUGACAAUUCAGCUAGUUAAUAUUUAGCCAGUUAAGAAAGGUGGUUGUAAUCCCUGCAAGGCAGUGAGCUCUCCUUUGAUUUCUCUAAUAGCUUAAAAAAUAAUUUCUUACAAGACAAUUAGAAAUUCUGCCUAUGGAUGCAAAUUUCAUAGAAAACAAUGUUAAGCCUUGAAAGUGGGUAAAAUGUGCCUUCGAUUGAAGUCAUUUAUUCUGUUGAUACACUUCUACAACAUAUAUAUUUUAAACCUGCUCAGAUAAAGUGAAAUUUAGCAAAAGGAUAUCCCCUCCCACCCCCAAAUCUAACAUGCCAUUUUAAAAACAGCACAAAGGAACAAGGAAACUAAAUAUUAUUUUGAGCCAUCAUUACUUAGUGAAAUACAAACAUCCAAAUAGAAACGAUUGUUGUUCCACCAGAAGAUUAGAAGUUAAAUUAUUUCCACACAAUAGGAAUUUCACUUCGUGUCAUCGGGGAUGUAGUAGGAGUUGCAUUAUUUGUCAAACCAAAUAGAGAUGCGUGGGCUGACUUUGCUGAAAUACAAAAGAAUUGAACCUUAUCUGAAGGCGUUUUCUAAGUGGCCCCUCCCAUAGAAGCCGGGAAGUUGUCCACCCCUAGCAGAAGCCACAUUAAUAUUUACAAAAUGGUUAUAAAUCCUUGAAGACAUUUUUGCCCAUUUUGUAUAAGAAACAGGAGUAAACAAGGUGUUUAUACUUGUUAUGUUUCAUUAAUGAAAUAUUAUUACUUUACAUCUUGGGGAAUGUUUGUUUUCUUUAGAAAUGAACUAAUGAUCACUACAAAGGAAGAAUUCAUGACAGCAUUUCCUAGAGAAAAAGCUUAGGUACGCGUCUCCAAAUGAUGGUUUCUUUUUCUACACCUUAGCUUUUUCAUAGCUCAAUUCUUCUUACAACUUCUCUUGUGUUUUUUCUUUGAUUGUCAGUUUUCUUUCAAAGUUUAUUUUUUGUUACUUAAUGCAGAAAAGUGAGCUCUGGUCUCCCCAGUGUAAAAGUCGAUUGUGUCUAGAAAGAAGGCAGUAAAAACAGCAAAGCAGGCGCUGCUUUCAAAAAGCCCUGCCCAAAUCAUCCCGCCCAGAACCUUCUUAGGUUUGCAUCCUCAUUUCCCCCUCCCCUAAUUUCAAUAGCUGGAAAGUAAUCAAGUAUCCCGAGAACCAAUUUAUGCACUAGACUCCAAAUAAAUAAAAUAUUUUUUUCAAAGUGUCA
rnacentral:lncRNA from 10 species